GAAGGCCAAAAGAUCAAGAUCUGAACAUAGUCGAAAGACACAGGAAAAGUAUUUUAAGAAGCUGUCAGGUGAAAAGAUGUGAAAUGUCCCCAUCGCUGCACAUACCUGCUACAUAAUCUCCAAUGCCGACAGUCGUGAGAGUGAUGACGACAAAGUAAAUGGCUUCUAAAGUACUCCAUCCCUCGAUGUGUUUGAAAAUCACCGCUGGGAUGGUGACAAAAAUGAUGCAGCCAGCGAUGAUGAAGAGUAUGGUGGAGGUGACGCGGAUUUUGGUCUGACUGAUUUGCUUGUGCUUUUGCUGUAAAUGGCAGCAGAAAAAAAUUCAGGAUGCUCUUUAUAAACAUGGUCCCGAGUUGAUCACCGAUCCCGGCCAACAGGAAGCCAAACAGAGGGAUGCCAAAUAUGGCGUAAAGGAUGCAGAAAAUCUUUCCGCCUUCGGUGCUGGGAGCGAUGUUUCCAUAUCCUGCAGAUGUGGGCGGAGAUGACAAGAGGUUAUUUAAUGGUUCUGAUGCAAACCGCUCUAGCUGACCCCCUCCAUUAAAACUGCAUUCACAGACACACAGAGAGACAAUUGGACUCGCCAAAUGUGUCUCUGGUGGGAAGAUUUUUGAGUCAGUCCUGCUCACAGCCAAGAACAACACCGACAACAGCCAGCUGGUCUCGCAUGACAGGACGGAGACAUGUCAACACGACUGGCAUCUAAUUCUGACGUGAUCUUACCUUGAUGAGGGCCUCGAGCUCGGCUGGAGAAACGCAGGGGUUCCUCUGCAGAAACAGGGCCUUCUCUUGUGUGAUGGUGUUCUUCUGGUUACUCUCAAAGGGUUCUUCCAGCGCACGAAACGCCAGACCGCCG